rnacentral:ncRNA from 2 species
UCUUUAUCCAGAGUGGCUGAGGGACAGGCCCUGCGACGCCACGGCAACCACGCGACACGACGUCGCGGUUCAGGUGCCAAUUCCUGCCGCGGUUCGCUUCAGUCCGGCUAAAGCCGGGACGCAAGCGACCGCGGGGAGAUGAGGG